rnacentral:rRNA from 1 species
UGAGGAAUAUUGCGCAAUGGGGGUAACCCUGACGCAGCGACGCCGCGUGAGUGAUGAAGGUCUUCGGGUUGUAAAGCUCUGUCAGAGGGAAAGAAAGGGGAUGCGGAAUAAUACCCGCAGCCAUUGACGGUACCCUCGGAGGAAGCACCGGCUAACUCCGUGCCAGCAGCCGCGGUAAUACGGAGGGUGCAAGUGUUAUUCGGAAUCACUGGGCGUAAAGAGCACGUAGGCGGAUGGGUAAGUCAGAUGUGAAAUCCCGGGGCUCAACUUCGGAACUGCAUUUGAUAAUGCCCGUCUUGAGUGUGGUAGAGGGGGAUGGAAUUCCCGGUGUAGAGGUGAAAUUCGUAGAUAUCGGGAGGAACACCAGAGGCGAAGGCGAUCCCCUGGGCCAUUACUGACGCUGAGGUGCGAAAGCGUGGGGAGCAAACAG